CUGUUUUGUCAACAAAUAUUAUAAAAUUUAAAUAAUAAAGAGAAGAUUAGCAUGACCCUGUACAACAAUUAACUGAAAAUUUAUGCAGCAUUUUAUAUUUUC